AAAAAGGGCAUCUGCUGUGAUUGGCAUAGCUGUGGAUGGUUUCUGACACAGCUACGGAAUCACUAUCAAGAGAUUUCGGAUGCACAAUUUUUAUAACCCGAGGCUGCCAAUGAUCGCUAAUCUUGGUGCCUCA
ensembl:snRNA